AAGGAUCAUUACCGAGUGAGGGUCCCCCGGGGCCCAACCUCCCACCCGUGUCUAUCGUACCUUGUUGCUUCGGCGGGCCCGCCGCUUGUUCGGCCGCCGGGGGGGCUCUCGCCCCCCGGGCCCGCGCCCGCCGGAGACCCCAACAUGAACACUAUGUCUGAAGCUUUGCAGUCUGAGUCGAUUGUAUCGCAAUCAGUUAAAACUUUCAACAAUGGAUCUCUUGGUUCCGGCAUCGAUGAAGAACGCAGCGAAAUGCGAUAACUAAUGUGAAUUGCAGAAUUCAGUGAAUCAUCGAGUCUUUGAACGCACAUUGCGCCCCCUGGUAUUCCGGGGGGCAUGCCUGUCCGAGCGUCAUUGCUGCCCUCAAGCACGGCUUGUGUGUUGGGCCGCCGUCCCCCCGGGGACGGGCCCGAAAGGCAGCGGCGGCACCGCGUCCGGUCCUCGAGCGUAUGGGGCUUUGUCACCCGCUCUGCAGGCCCGGCCGGCGCUGGCCGACGCUUCACACCGAAGCAACCAACCUUCUCUCCAGGUUGACCUCGGAUCAGGUAGGGAUACCCGCUGAACUUAA
rnacentral:rRNA from 1 species